GAUGAAGAACGUAGCAAAAUGCGAUAAGUAAUGUGAAUUGCAGAAUUCAGUGAAUCAUCGAAUCUUUGAACGCACAUUGCGCCCGCCAGUAUUCUGGCGGGCAUGCCUGUUCGAGCGUCAUUUCAACCCUCAAGCCCUCGGGUUUGGUGUUGGGGAUCGGCGAGCCUUUCUGGCAAGCCGGCCCCGAAAUCUAGUGGCGGUCUCGCUGCAGCCUCCAUUGCGUAGUAGUAAAACCCUCGCAACUGGAACGCGGCGCGGCCAAGCCGUUAAACCCCCAACUUCUGAAUGUUGACCUCGGAUCAGGUAGGAAUACCCGCUGAACUUAAGCAUAUUCAAUAAGCGGAGGA
rnacentral:misc_RNA from 1 species